UCCCGUAAAUGCCCGAACAGCUGCCCAGCGCCAUUUAAAGCGACAGGGCCGCGCCGCGCGUGAGUAGGGCAGUGAGGGCAGGACAAUGAGUCUCGCUGCGGCGCGCGGCCCGGGGAGGUCCCGCUCCGCGUGGCGCGAGCAAUUCCCGCUGUGCCCCUCCAGGCGUGGCGCGGAGCCGUCCCCGCGCUGCGACGGUCCCCCUCACUGUACCCCAUGGGGACGAGUCAGGGCCCUGCGUCCUUCCUCCCACUCCUGCGACAACACCUGGGGGAGGGAGCCCGGCCUUUGUCCGGCCCUGGCCCUGGCCGCCUGUGUGCAUCCCUUGGCGCCCUGAGCCCCCCUGGCAGUGGGGAGGAUAAUACAUGAUAGCCCCGCCCCCCUUCCCCAGUCUAUUCAGUCUGAAAGCCCUUCCCUGUGCCUGUGCCCCAUGCAGGACAACAGGCCCUGACCUCAGCGAGGGCCUCCUGCAACUGCCUAGGCCAGCGUCUAACAACAUAAUAGGAGCCUCCUCCUUCAGCUCUGCCCGGAGGGAAGAUGGCCCUCGUGCAGCCAGGGUCCUUUCCUUUCCUGUGAGGAAUCCUAGCGGGGGGAGUGAGGCCCUACGGCUGGCACCUACGUACUUAAUGGGAAAGAAAAAACAGGAAACGACACGUGGGGGAAGACGAGUUCACUUCUAACCAGGAAAGCAGGAUGCCACAGUGACAGGGUGCCACAGAAACAGGGACCUUAAAGACUUAAAAAGCUAAAGUUGGGUGACCAGAUGUCCUGACUUUAUAGGGACAGGCCCGAUUUUGGGGACUUUUUCCUAUACAGGCUCCUAUUACCCCCCACCCCGUCCCGAUUUUUCACACUUGCUGGCUGGUCACCCUAAGCUAGAGACAAUAUUACAGACUGGCUACCUGGCCUUUUUGUGAAGUGACCACUGUUUUAGGGAUUCAGGUUUAAAGAGGGAAAUUACUCGUAAUUCCAUUAGUUUUUGUUUUGUCUAUAUGCAGAUGCUGCACUUGUUUAACUUAAACCCCACGUACAUACUCUUACUGCCUGUUAGUCUAAACCUGGUCCUAAUCAGCCUAAGCUAAAUCAAAUGAAAGCAGCUUUAGAUCAUUCUAAGAGUGCCACAGAGCCGUCUGCACCAGGUUAAUUAAACUGAUUUUAAAUCUCACAGUUAGUUUAACUGCUGCAAUUGUGCAUGUAGACAAGUCUGUGGUCCCAUUUUCUCCCAUCCCACAAAAGAGAUGGUCAGGGACAGAUUGUUUUACCACUCCACCUAGCAGGAAGCAAAGGAGGGAAAAACUGGAACGGGUUUAUUGUAUUUAAACACAAGUCCACCCCUUCCUCCUCCAAUUAUCUACUGCUAUAGUAAUAAGGUAAAGAAAAAAUGGAGAAGUAUGCAAAAAGCAGCAGCACCCUUCCUUGGCAGGGUGUAGGAUGGAAAAGAAAGUUAUGGUAAAUGGAAACAUUGAUUUGUAAUUUUUGCUUGUCUCAUGUUUCACUUUUCCGACUUUAUGAAAGUCCAUCAGGAACAGAUGAUGGAUGUAAGAAGCAUCAUGUAGGAGAAGGAAUUAUUUAAUGGAACUUAAACACUUUCCAAGUAAAGGUGGGGUCUGGAGUUAGCACACAGCAGAUCCAGCUGAUAGCAUGUUAUAAAUGUAUGGAGUGUCACUUGCCACUUUAUAUACCUCAAAGGAGUGGCACUAAUAUGAGGGUUGCUUCCACUUCUGCCCCCAGUGUUUUUACACUUCUCAAAGUUGCUCAAAGUUCCAUAGGCUGUGUAGCCAGGGGGGAGGAAAGCACAUGGCCCAGCCACUUUCAGUCAGCAGUCCCAUACUAAAUCAGUAUGGGUGCUGUCAGAGUGGAUUUGAGCACUGUUCUGGCUGUGUGGUCACCACACUGUACAGAUGGAGGGGCAGUUGGGCCAGAUUUCAGUGAAUGGUAUUGUGAUCUGGCACAUGAGGAGUCUGUUCUUGUAUGAUGGAGCAUAAGAGGGGGAGGGAUAGCUCAAUGGUUUGAACAUUGGCCUGCUAAACCCAGGGUUGUAAGCUCAAUCCUUGAGGUGGGCCAUAUAGGGAUCUGGGGCAAAAAUGUGUCUGGGGAUUGGUCCUUCUUUUAGCAGGGGGUUGGUCUAGAUGACCUCCUGAGGUCCCUUCCAACCCUGAUAUUCUAUGAUUUCUAAGAGAGUCUGCUGAGAACUUUAAUUGCUCCCAUGGCCCUGCUUUGAGACUAUGGGAGCCAAUUCUUUAAAAUCUAUUACUAUCAAAGAUGUUUUGGGGCUGGCAGUUACUAAGUCCAGGAGGACUGAAAAAUUGGGCUCUCUCUCACCAAUACCUCUCCAUAUCUACAAUUCUUUCCAGGCAAAGUGAUGCUUUUUAGCCUUUUUCACAAAGAUAAACACAAAAUUUCAUAUUAAUGAACAUAUUGUUCUUCCAGCCUUCUAUACUACUCAGGACACAAAGCUAUUUUCUUGGAUGUCAAAUUAACUAACUGUGUUAAUAGGGUAGUGCUAGACCUUUAUAAUAAGAAUGUAACAAAGAUGGGAGCUAAUAAGGCCAUGUGAACCAUGAGAUGGCUGAGGCAUGAACUCUUAAGUGCUUUAAAGUCCUUUCUUAAAUCUUGACUUCUUACUGACAAGGGCAUUCUCCAGGUUUAAGAAUGAGCUUCUCUAGAGCACCACCCAGAGUGGGUGGGAUUUAGGGCAGGUCUACACUAUAGCAGGGAUCGAUGCUCUGAGAUCGAUCCACCAGUGGUCGACUUAGCGGGUCUAGUAAAGACUCACCAAAUCACUCUCCAGUCAACCCCUGUGCUCUACCCCCAACAAGAAGAGUAAGGUAAGUCUCCCGUCAACCCCCCACGGUGUAGACGCUGCGGUAACUCGACCUAAGGUAUGUAGCUGGAGUUGUGUAGCAUAGGUCGACUUACUGCGGUAGUGUAAACCUAGCCUUGGUAGGAGUUUAGAAGGGAGGAGAUGGCAACAUUCCUGGAAAGACGGGGGCUAGGGGUAAUCCAAGAUGACAAUCUGGGAGCAGAAGUAGACAGAGGUUUCUGAAGGAGAAAUCACUGCUCUUCUCCAAGCUCCGCCCUGCAGAGGAUGCUAUUACAGGAAAACUGAAAGGUUAACAGGUCCCUGAGCAGACAGAACAGCUUGCUCCAUUAGCAGAUGUGAGAUCAGACCCUGCAACAACCCAGAAAAAUGAAGAUUGGUACUGGAUCCCUAAAUUGCUCCCUCUGUAAAAUCCGUUGCUCUCAGCAGAGGACUUACAUACAGAGGGAAAUAAAAAAGAAUGCAAAUCAGAAGGAAGAGAGUAGGCAGAGCAGGAAAAGCGAGGCAAGGGCUCCUUUCAAGUUGCAGGAUGCACAGGAACUGGAGGGAGGAAGCAGAUGGGGGCUGUUCUCGGAGUCAACACUUUCAAGGAUAGAGUCCCCCAUUCUCCGCGCUUCAGCUGUCCCCCCC